UGAGACAAUGGCAGAGGCAAAAAUAAUUAGUUGAAGAAACUUUAGUGAGUAUGAAAAAACGCUACUAAAACAGAAAAAUAGUGGUUGGGCUGCAAUUUGUAGUGAAUUCAAUGCAGAUGAAAAUGUAAACACAAGAAGAGUACAGCAACUUCAGACUCUGUGGAAGAAUCUUAAACGGGCUUUAAAAAAGAGAGAAUGCAGAGAUCAGAAGAGAGCGAUUUACUAGCGGUUGGUUGAUCACCAAAAAAAGACAAGACUGAUGAAUUGAGUGAUUUAGCUGUCUGGAGUAAAAAGGGCAUCAGCAACCUCUGGAUGGUAUACCAGAUGAUGACCAACCUCUGGAUGGUAUACCAGAUGAUGACCAUUUGGGCAGUCCAGAUGAAGAACUGAGCACAAAUGAGGAAGGGAAUCUGAACAGGUUGGAAGAGCCAGUGCACAGUGAGUGUGUACCCUCCAUCUGCUAUAGCAUCCCUGAGAGAAGAUGCUGCCACCACCUUUCAGCAUAGAACAAAAAAUAUGACCAUGCAUAAGAAGUUAGCCAGAGAAUUUCAUGAGCAUAAAAUGAAAUAGCUGAAGGAAGAACAUGAAAUGAAAAUAAGAAUUCUACAGGUUGAAUUGGAUAUGAAGUCAGAAGAGAGAGGGCAGUGUGAUCCAAAAAAGAUUACCAGCCAUGGUGAACAAUAU